rnacentral:misc_RNA from 1 species
UGUUACCUUUUGGACAUGGACUCGGGACGGCCUUGGCAUAUCAGGUUGGUGACAUCGUCUUCUACUCUUGUCUUUUCUACUUUUGAAAACAUAGACCUGCCUCUUAGGUUCUCUUCAGAGGAGCAAGAUGGUGUGGUCACUUUCCACCAGCCCGGAUCUCAGACCGGUCAGCCUUUCUACCGAAUACUCAACAAGAUCGGCCAGGCGGUCUACGUCGGAGGCAACGAGACACUCUUAAAAUUGAGCAUAGACAGGAUAGAUGGACAAUAUACUGUGGUAGCAAACAUUACAACAGAACUUUUGACAGAAGAGCCUCCGUUAAUUGUUACUUGUGAGCACAGAAGCAGUGACCCUGAGAGGGACUGUUGGAAUUUCAUCCGUGUGGCUGAGGAGACAAGGUCAGGUCGCCUGUACGUUUGCGGCACCAAUUCACAAAGUCGCCUGUGCUACUUGUGCUCCCAAGACCUGGUGGACUGUCCUAGAGUGCCUGGCUUCGCACCAGUUCUAGUACCUUUACUGCCUGAUGUCAAUCCAUCAGUAGCUGUCUUUGACCACGAAGCAGGAGACGUUCUGUAUGGAGGAGAUGCCGCUACCGAAACCUUCCAACGUUACAGUCUGGAUGACUAUGGAACGGCUACUUUUGAAUUGGAUUCUGUAACUGUUGGCCUUAGAUUUAUUAACACGCCUGUCUUUGUGGGUAAACCCUUCAGCUACACCGACGGCAGCGGUAAUAAAUAUGUUUUCACUUUCUACCGUGAGAGAGCCGAGGAAUAUUCCAACCUCGGGGAGAAACUGUACUCGAGAAUCGCGAGAGUAUGCCAGAGUGAUACAGGAGGCCCCGUGAACACCCAGAAGUUUGUCACUUUCAUCAAGGCGCGGCUCAACUGCUCCAUUCCAGACGAACUGUUCCCUUACGAGUUCGAUGAAAUACAGGAUGUAUUAUGGACCGACACAAAUGGAGACCCCGAAGCAUAUGCUGUGUUCACGUCACCAUCAAAAGGACCGAAAGCGUCAGCUCUUUGCCGCUACAGGAUGAGGGACAUCAUGCAGCUGUUUGACGAGGGUGAAUACAAGUUACAGCUUAAUGGUAACGUCAACCGCAUGUGGCUGCCACAAGCUGUGACAGAUCCCAGGCCUGGAACAUGCCAUGAAGUGCAUACCACAGAUUAUCCUCCGCUGCUGGACAAGUUGGUGCCCAACUAUAACCCCCUGGAACCGGCCCCAGGAGAUCAACCUCCCCCACCAGACAAUCUUAAGCAGUCUGAUGCACCCACACUUUACGUGAACGGAGUCCACUUUACCAGCCUGGCCGUCGAUUUCGAUCACGGUUGUCUCUACUAUUUUGGGACAACCGAUGGAACUGUGAUCAGAGCUUUCAGGUACGAUUGCGACAAUGCAACCGAGCCGUUUACAACCGUUGAAAUCACUGAGCUGGGGACAGAUGGAACCACCGUGACAGGGCUGGAGCUGAUCACUGGGGGCUCUCGCAAAUUUCUGGUGGUGACGACGGAAGAGAGUGUCAUCUCAUGGCUACUCUCCCCAAUCUCUCCAGACAUUUCAGUCACACCACAAAAAAUAUCCUCAGCUCGCUAUGAAGAUGAAUGUAAAAUCAAGGGACCAGACUGUUCGUGGAAUGGCUCAAACUGUUCUUGUGCACCUGCAGAUCCGAAUUGUGUCAUCGAACAGCAAAGACUUCUUGUUCAACCCACGACGAGCCGUAUUGUUUCCUGUGCGAACAAGGAUGUCUUCGUGUAUUGUGAAGUCAAUCUAGGUCCAGCGUGUUCCGACCAGUACGUCACCUUAUCCUGGGCCAAAGAUGACAGCGCAAGUUUUUGUGCUCGGAACAAACAUUUGGCACGAGAAACAAGGUUGUCCAACGGACUACUGGAACUGAGGGUGACUACUCACAACAUCAGCAGCGGCAACUACACGUGCACAGCCCAUGUGGGAGGAGUCCGAGCAGAGGCAGCGCAGGUGGAAAUUGUAGUGGAGAACUGCCUUACUGAGCAAAGUCUUCAAUCAAGAUGUGUUUUCCAUGACGAGUUGGAAGCUGCACACCAACACCUAGAACAAACUUCAGGUGGCGGUAUUCAAAGCAGCGUAGCCAGUGGUAUGCAGAGUGGCACAGAGCAACCGGCUGAAGAGAUUAUAGUCAAUUGACAUUGACGGAAGCCACAUUCGGAUGGCAAACGAUUUAUGAACACAUUUUCGAGAGCCAGUGGGGGACCCAUGGUCGCUGAGCACAGUGGGCCCCAAGCUGAACCUAGAGAGGGCGCGAUUUUCCUAGCAACGGAGGCUCCUGUGGUAGUCAUGGUUUACAAAUGACUAUGACGUGUGUGUUAAGUGUGCGUCGCUACCAGCAAGUCUAAAACGAACACUCCUGACCACCAUGGCUCUUUUUAACCGAGGAGGAGUGUUUCUGCUCAAGGCGGAUAGGAAAACACACACAUAAACAUCUAGUUUCAUCAUCAGUAAGGAUGGAGUCCAUUGAUCUUCCUGAUGUCUUCAUAGCCUGUCAUGUACUGUACUUUAAUUAACCUAGACAAAUAUUCUGGUUUGCAGCUGGCAAAAAAAACCCCCUGGCUAGUACGUACCGGGUGUGUAGAUGUCAAAUUAUGGAGACUGAAUCACCUCAAAAGGGUGGUGGCGCUGCUCACACAUCUCAUUUUAAGACGCAUAUUUUUGCUUUUUUAUUAAAGCUUUUUUUGGAUUUCAAUUUUUUUUCACUAUAUCGUUUAAAACAUCGUUGGCCCUGCUUGAUCAUUUUGACAUGCUUCCACUAGCUAAUCGUGUCGAAAUGGCAUCAAUGAUGCCAGGGACAGACAUCUCAAUAACUGAACAGUUGUGUUUUUUUUUUCAUCUGUCCAAGGUAAUGCCCUACACUUUCACGGAGGAGAGUGCAGAUUUUUAGAGCAUUUUAGAUUUUCCGUCUUUUUUUCUCCUGGACGUCGUUUCUCUCCGAGGAAGUUAGAUUGUACACCUUUUCUGUACAAAACCAUUGCUGUUUCUCAAGUACAACUAAUCAACGCACUAACUCAGUUGUAAUUAUGUGAGCUCAACCUGGUGUACGACAACAUGUCUCAUAAAAAGGGCUCCACAAAUAUAUGACCCAAUAAUAACUUAUUUUUCAUUAAUUCGUAUUAAGCAGAGAUGUUUGUAAUAAACUGCUAUACUCGACUUAUGUACGUGUGUUGUAAAUGUACAUGUACGUUUGAUCGUGUGUUACAUGAGUUCGAUCAUUUCAAUCGUACAGUAGCGUAAAGCAUAUUGGUACUGGAACAACAUAAAUCAGGCAUGACGUUUAUAUACUGCACAUGCGAAAUCUCAACAGAAAUAACCGUGUUUAGUAAGUGCUAUAUGUUGCCAGAAUACGAAAGACAUAAUAAAUGGCGGACUACUAUUUUGCGGCCCUCAACGUGCUGCACCACCGCCUAA